rnacentral:sRNA from 1 species
UAUUUAGUUAUAAUUAGUUCAUAGUGAAAUGUAAAUGUUUCAGACAACACAAAUGAAAUAAACAUUUUAAAAGUUAUAAUUAGUUCAUAGUGAAAUGUAAAUUGCCUUUAUCAUAGCCGUUACCUAGUUUGGUACGGGUUAUAAUUAGUUCAUAGUGAAAUGUAAAUCUGGAUGCUUUUCUAAAUAAGCACAUUCUUGACUGUUAUAAUUAGUUCAUAGUGAAAUGUAAAUGUAAUAAACACAUUAUUUACAACAAUCGUACAAUGUUAUAAUUAGUUCAUAGUGAAAUGUAAAUUAAUCUGUAUGAACUCUAUAUGUUGCAUAUCUUCUGGUUAUAAUUAGUUC